rnacentral:rRNA from 1 species
AGAGUUUGAUCCUGGCUCAGAACGAACGCUGGCGGCGGGCUUCAUACAUGCAAGUCGAGCGCGAAAGCUCCUUCGGGAGCAAGUAGAGCGGCGAACGGGUGAGUAACGGGUGGAUAACCUACCUUUCGGUGGAGGAUAACGGCCGGAAACGGCCGCUAAUACUGCAUACGGUUGCCGGUCCUCGGACUGGUAAAGAAAGAAGCGUUUGCUUCGCCGAAAGGUGGGUCCGCCUCCCAUUAGCUUGUUGGUGGGGUAACGGCCUACCAAGGCUCCGAUGGGUAGCCGAGCUGAGAGGUUGAUCGGCCACACUGGGACUGAGACACGGCCCAGACACCUACGGGUGGCAGCAGUAGGGAAUCUUGCGCAAUGGGCGAAAGCCUGACGCAGCCACGCCGCGUGGACGAUGAAGGCCUUCGGGUCGUAAAGUCCUUUUCUGAGGGAAGAACAGCCCGGGGAGGAAAUGCCCCAGGUCUGACGGUACCUCAGGAAUAAGCCACGGCUAACUCCGUGCCAGCAGCCGCGGUAAUACGUAGGUGGCAAGCGUUGUUCGGAAUUACUGGGCGUAAAGGGAGCGCAGGCGGCCAGGUCAGUCUGAAGUGAAAGCCCAGGGCUCAACCCUGGAAUGGCUUUGGAUACUGCCUGGCUUGAGUACGUCAGAGGUGAGCGGAAUUCCAGGUGUAGCGGUGAAAUGCGUAGAUAUCUGGAGGAACAUCCGUGGCGAAAGCGGCCCACUGGGACGAAACUGACGCUGAGGCUCGAAAGCGUGGGGAGCGAACGGGAUUAGAUACCCCGGUAGUCCACGCCGUAAACGUUGUGCACUAGGUGUGGGAGGUGUCGACCCCUUCCGUGCCGAAGCUAACGCAUUAAGUGCACCGCCUGGGGAGUACGGUCGCAAGACUGAAACUCAAAGGAAUUGACGGGGGCCCGCACAAGCGGUGGAGCAUGUGGUUUAAUUCGAGGCAACGCGAAGAACCUUACCCAGACUUGACAUCCCGCGCCCGCCCUGGAAACAGGGCCUUCCCUUCGGGGACGCGGUGACAGGUGUUGCAUGGCUGUCGUCAGCUCGUGUCGUGAGAUGUUGGGUUAAGUCCCGCAACGAGCGCAACCCCUGUCCCUAGUUACCAGCGGUUCGGCCGGGCACUCUAGGGAGACUGCCGGUGAUAAGCCGGAGGAAGGUGGGGACGACGUCAAGUCAUCAUGGCCCUUAUGUCUGGGGCUACACACGUGCUACAAUGGCCGGUACAAUGGGUCGCGAACCCGCGAGGGGAAGCCAAUCUCAAAAAACCGGUCUCAGUUCGGAUUGGAGUCUGCAACUCGACUCCAUGAAGGUGGAAUCGCUAGUAAUCGCGUAUCAGCAAUGACGCGGUGAAUACGUUCCCGGGCCUUGUACACACCGCCCGUCACAUGACCCGAGUCGGGUGCACCCGAAGUCGCUGGCCCAACCCUUUGGGAGGGAGGCGCCGAAGGUGUGCUUGGUAAGGGGGAUGAAGUCGUAACAAGGU